CAAGUCGCACGAGAAAGCGGGAGCAAUCUCGCAAGUAAAGUGGCGUACGGGUGAGUAACACGUGGGUAAUCUACCUUUUAGUGGGGAAUAACGCUGGGAAACCGGCGCUAAUACCGCAUAAUCUCGAGAGAGGAAAGCAGCAAUGCGCUGAAAGAGGAGCCCGCGGCCGAUUAGCUAGUUGGUAGGGUAAAAGCCUACCAAGGCAUAGAUCGGUAGCCGGCCUGAGAGGGCACACGGCCACACUGGCACUGAAACACGGGCCAGACUCCUACGGGAGGCAGCAGUGGGGAAUCUUGCACAAUGGGGGCAACCCUGAUGCAGCGACGCCGCGUGAGCGAUGAAGCCCUUCGGGGUGUAAAGCUCUUUCGGCAGGGACGAUAAUGACGGUACCUGCAGAAGCAGCUGCGGCUAACUACGUGCCAGCAGCCGCGGUAAUACGUAGGCAGCGAGCGUUGUUCGGAGUUACUGGGCGUAAAGGGUGUGUAGGCGGUUUUCUAAGUUUGGUGUGAAAUCUCCCGGCUCAACCGGGAGGGUGCGCCGAAAACUGGAAGACUAGAGUGCGGGAUGGGAGAGUAGAAUUCCUGGUGUAGCGGUGAAAUGCGUAGAUAUCAGGAGGAAUACCGGUGGUGUAGACGGCUCUCUGGACCGCAACUGACGCUGAGACACGAAAGCGUGGGUAGCAAACAGGAUUAGAUACCCUGGUAGUCCACGCCCUAAACGAUGCAUAUUUGGUGUAGGUCAUUCAGUUGAUCUGUGCCGGAGCUAACGCGUUAAAUAUGCCGCCUGGGGAGUACAGU
rnacentral:rRNA from 1 species